CAUUAACCUUUCAAAACAGGGUGCGUCGCGGCCCCCGAGGUGCGGAAACAAGCCUCGAGCGGUUUGGGGUCCUCCCCUUCACGCGCGCACGACUGCCAUCCUUACUUUACGAGCACCUUCUGUUCUCCCUCGGCGGGGCAACCUGCCGUUGGAACCGAAUAAACUCUUUUUGCAUCUAGCAUUACCUGUUCCGAAACAAACAAUCGUUACAACUUUCAACAAUGGAUCUCUUGGCUCUGGCAUCGAUGAAGAACGCAGCGAAAUGCGAUAAGUAGUGUGAAUUGCAGAAUUCAGUGAAUCAUCGAAUCUUUGAACGCACAUUGCGCCCCUCGGUAUUCCGUGGGGCAUGCCUGUUCGAGCGUCAUCUACACCCUCAAGCUCUGCUUGGUGUUGGGCGUCUGUCCCGCCUCCGCGCGUGGACUCGCCCCAAAUUCAUUGGCAGCGGUCCUUGCCUCCUCUCGCGCAGCACAUUGCGCUUCUUGAGGGGCUCCGGUUCGCGUCCAACAAGCACAUUUACCGUCUUUGACCUCGGAUCAGGUAGGGAUACCCGCUGAACUUAAGCAUAUCAAUAAGCGGAGGAAAAGAAAGCAACAGCGAUAGCCUCAGUAACGGCGAGUGAAGCGGCUACAGCUCAAAUUUGAAAUCUGGCCUCCUUUGGGGGUCCGAGUUGUAAUUUGCAGAGGAUGCUUUGGCAUUGGCGGCGGUCUAAGUUCCUUGGAACAGGACAUCGCAGAGGGUGAGAAUCCCGUACGUGGGCGCCUGCCUUUGCCGUG
rnacentral:rRNA from 1 species